rnacentral:rRNA from 1 species
AGUGAACGCUGGCGGUAGGCCUAACACAUGCAAGUCGAACGGCAGCACAGUAAGAGCUUGCUCUUACGGGUGGCGAGUGGCGGACGGGUGAGGAAUACAUCGGAAUCUACUUUUUCGUGGGGGAUAACGUAGGGAAACUUACGCUAAUACCACAUACGGCCUACGGGUGAAAGCAGGGGAUCUUCGGACCUUGCGCGAUUGAAUGAGCCGAUGUCGGAUUAGCUAGUUGGCGGGGUAAAGGCCCACCAAGGCGACGAUCCGUAGCUGGUCUGAGAGGAUGAUCAGCCACACUGGAACUGAGACACGGUCCAGACUCCUACGGGAGGCAGCAGUGGGGAAUAUUGGACAAUGGGCGCAAGCCUGAUCCAGCCAUACCGCGUGGGUGAAGAAGGCCUUCGGGUUGUAAAGCCCUUUUGUUGGGAAAGAAAAGCAGCAGGUUAAUACCCCGCUGUUCUGACGGUACCCAAAGAAUAAGCACCGGCUAACUUCGUG